rnacentral:rRNA from 1 species
UGGGGAAUCUUGCGCAAUGGGCGAAAGCCUGACGCAGCCAUGCCGCGUGGAUGAUGAAGGUCUUAGGAUUGUAAAAUCCUUUCACCGGUGAAGAUAAUGACUGUAGCCGGAGAAGAAGCCCCGGCUAACUUCGUGCCAGCAGCCGCGGUAAUACGAAGGGGGCUAGCGUUGCUCGGAAUUACUGGGCGUAAAGGGAGCGUAGGCGGACAUUUAAGUCAGGGGUGAAAUCCCGAGGCUCAACCUCGGAACUGCCUUUGAUACUGGGUGUCUUGAGUGUGAGAGAGGUAUGUGGAACUCCGAGUGUAGAGGUGAAAUUCGUAGAUAUUCGGAAGAACACCAGUGGCGAAGGCGACAUACUGGCUCAUUACUGACGCUGAGGCUCGAAAGCGUGGGGAGCAAACAGGA